UACAGCUGGGCUAAAAUAACUUCAGAGGAGCCCUGGAGAUCAACAAUCUACAGAGACCAAGCAAAUGCCCAAUCAAGAAAAAGCACAUCCCAAUGAAACAGGAGGAGCCGAGGCAUGAGGGAGCCUGACAGGAAGUGAGGAUUCGAGACUUCAAAUACAAACAUUAUGAAAAACAAGCAACAUCUGCAAACAGUUCUGUCCUUUCUUUGCAGACACUUGCAAAGGCGCUUCCUGGACAGUUGGAUGUACCUGAGCCAUCUCUGCAGCGAGAAACAGGAGCAGCUCAACUUCCAGCGGCUCUCCUAUUUGGAUAAUCCUGCGUAAUGAUUUCAGGGCUGGUUCUGGAAAGUUCCACCAGCUCCUCUGCAUGCCAGGCGGGCGCCUGGAGUGCUGGGUGACUGACUUUGGGGUGUGGGGCGGGAGAAGACCCCAGUAUGUAAACAAACAAUGUAUUGCUGCCUUGGCAAAAAUGUAAACAAAAUCCAUGUCCCCUGCCCUGGGGCUGGGCCGGCGGGAUGCCGUUUGACAGAACUUGCUGCACGGAGUCUCCCGGGCUGGCCAACUAGACAUCCUGGAAACUCUAGAGGGAAAAAUCACGCCCGAGUGGCUGCUGUCUGGUAGAAUCUGAAGCAGAAUGAAACAGGCCUCCAACAAUCAAUAUUACUGACAAAUUAAUCUCUGCGAAUAAACUGGAGCUCGC